AUGACAUGCCAGAAAUCGUAAUUGUCGAAGGAAUAAAAAGGAUAGCUAAGAAAAAUCCCUAUAAAGGAUAAUCAUCUUUUCGGAAUUCUAUGACAUAUGUACUUAAGAAAGGUAUCAUUUGAAUCAUGGCAAUUAAUCAGUUUCCAUGGCAUCAGCAGAGUCAAGUAUAGCCUCCGCAGUAGGCGCUUGAGGUUCUUCGGCGGCAGCCCUAGAAGCACGAGCAGCCGCGGGACCUUUGUCGCCUAAUUUAUCAAGCCAUUCUUUUGUGUCAUUUUGAUCGUAAAGAGUAUAUUUUUCAUCUUUUCCAAUGACGGAUAUAGAAACGUUUUCUUCGGUCAGUUCUUGGUCUUUUGAAAGAGUAUCACGUAAAGCUCUAAGUGCUGAGAGGAUAAGUUCUUCUCUGCUAGAAUCCGGAAAUGUAUCCAAAUUUCGCUCUAUGUAAGUACGAGCAGACUGGGAUCGUGAACCCAUACUAGUACCCAAAUAUUCUAGAACAAGGCCAGAAGGUUGAAACUCGAGUAAAUGUGGACCACUUUCAUCGUACCCAAUUACUAAAAACCCAACACCAUAAGGUCUCCUUCCGUACUCCUGAGUAUUAAUUUGAGCCUUUUCAGCAACCUUGCUCAUUAGACGACGGACAGGAAUAGGUCGAGUAAACAAAGUCUUAGACGAUAAAGCUUCUUGCUUCAUAUAGUUACUGUUGCGUUAAUAUUCCAUUAUAACAAACGUAAAUUGUAAUAUACAAAAUCAUUAUGCCUAGUAAUACUCUCAAAAAAAGUAUUCCCACCGAUAGCAAUUUCAAAAACCAAAGCAAACACACAUAGAGAUUACGGUUUUUGCAUGACUGUCUUACAUCCAUUAAAUGCCUUACCUCAAAACUCUGGCGUCAGGAGCCAAACCAGCUAUAGCAAUACCAAUAUGGUCAUCAAUGCGAAUCAACUUCUUUUGGUAGCUGCUAAGUUCCUCUGCGUUUCUCUACAUUUUGAAAGUUAAUGGAGGCCCUAGUAAAAUAAAAUUGUGGAUACCUUUAAAGCGACUAGAACAGCAUGUGUUUUGGAAACGAGUCCAACCGUAGCUGAUCCUUGUUUAAUAGCUUCUAAUGCGUAUUCUACUUGAUGGAGUCUUCCUUGAGGGCUCCACGUAGUCGCAUCUCCAUCUAAUUAUAAAGUUAGCAGACCAAUUUCUU